GAUGAACGCUGGCGGCGUGCCUAAUACAUGCAAGUCGAGCGAACAGACGAGGAGCUUGCUCCUCUGACGUUAGCGGCGCACGGGUGAGUAACACGUGGAUAACCUACCUAUAAGACUGGGAUAACUUCGGGAAACCGGAGCUAAUACCGGAUAAUAUAUUGAACCGCAUGGUUCAAUAGUGAGAGACGGUUUUGCUGUCACUAAUAGAUGGAUCCGCGCUGCAUUAGCUAGUUGGUACGGUAACGGCUUACGAAGGCAAGCAUGCGUAGCCGACCUGAGAGGGUGAUCGGCGGCACGGGAAGUGGGACACGGUCCAGAGUCCUACGGGAGGGAGCAGUAGGGAAUCGGCCGCAAUGGUGGAAAGCCUUACGGAGCAAGGCCGCGUGAGUGAUGAAGGUCUUGGGAGCGGAAAACUCUGUUAUGAGUUAUGAACAAAUGUGGAAGUAACUAUGCACGUCUUGACGGUACCUGAUCAGAAAGCCACGGCUAACUACGUG
rnacentral:rRNA from 1 species